rnacentral:rRNA from 1 species
CAGCAGCCGCGGGAAUACGUAGGGUGCGAGCGUUAAUCGGAAUUACUGGGCGUAAAGGGCACCUAGGCGGCCUGACAAGUCAGGGGUGAAAACCUGCGGCCCAACCGCAGGCCUGCCUUUGAAACUGUGAGGCUGGAGUACCGGUGAGGUGGACGGAACUGCACGAGUAGAGGUGAAAUUCGUAGAUAUGUGCAGGAAUGCCGAUGAUGAAGAUAGUUCACUGGACGGUAACUGACGCUGAAGUGCGAAAGCCGGGGGAGCGAACAGGAUUAGAUACCCGUGUAGUCCUGUCUUUAUACAC